rnacentral:tRNA from 1 species
UGGGGUGUGGCUCAGCGGUAGAGCAUUUGCUUAGAAUGUAUGAGGCUCUGGGUUCGAUUCUCAGCACUAUAU